GACGAACGUUGGCGGCGUGCUUAAUACAUGCAAGUCCACUGAAGCAGUGGUAGCAAUAUCGCUGUGGAGGUGGCGCACGGGUGAGUAACACGUAGGUAAUCUGCCUGCAGGUCUGGCAUAACUCCGGGAAACCGGGGCUAAUAGCAGAUGAUGCAGCGGCUCGACAUCGAGACAGUUGUUAAAGCUAUGGCGCCUGAAGAUGAGCCUGCGUCUGAUUAGCUAGUUGGCGGGGUAACGGCCCACCAAGGCAACGAUCAGUAGCUGGUCUGAGAGGAUGAUCAGCCACAAUGGAACUGAGACACGGUCCAGACUCCUACGGGAGGCAGCAGUAAGGAAUAUUGCGCAAUGGGAGAAAUCCUGAAGCAGAAACGCCGCGAGAGGGACGAGGGGCUUUUGCUUGUAAACCUCUGAAGUGAGAGAAAAAAAUCCCAAUCUUUGGGACAGGAUGGUAUCUCAAAAGUAAGCCCCGGCUAACUACGU
rnacentral:rRNA from 1 species